rnacentral:rRNA from 1 species
GACGAACGCUGGCGGCGCGCCUAACACAUGCAAGUCGAACGAGAGAUGAGGAGCUUGCUCUUCAAAUCGAGUGGCGAACGGGUGAGUAACGCGUGAGGAACCUGCCUCAAAGAGGGGGACAACAGUUGGAAACGACUGCUAAUACCGCAUAAGCCCACGGCUCGGCAUCGAGCAGAGGGAAAGGAGUGAUCCGCUUUGAGAUGGCCUCGCGUCCGAUUAGCUAGUUGGUGAGGUAACGGCCCACCAAGGCGACGAUCGGUAGCCGGACUGAGAGGUUGAACGGCCACAUUGGGACUGAGACACGGCCCAGACUCCUACGGGAGGCAGCAGUGGGGAAUAUUGCACAAUGGGGGGAAACCCUGAUGCAGCGACGCCGCGUGGAGGAAGAAGGUCUUCGGAUUGUAAACUCCUGUUGUUGAGGAAGAUAAUGACGGUACUCAACAAGGAAGUGACGGCUAACUAACGUG